rnacentral:lncRNA from 1 species
CUCUUGGCCACCACACUCCUUCAAUACCAGAUGAUGCAAGCUUCAAAUCACUCCAACUUUAGAUCACUUGAUGAUCAAGAGAUUCCAAGCUUAGCUUGCGGAAGGUGGAAUUCACGAGCCAGCUCUGAAGCACUCUCUCGUGAAUCAAGGGGUGGUACAGGGGAUAGUUCAGGUGAUUGACUCGCUCAAUCGGUUGGAUAAUCAACUCACUCAAUCAAUA